rnacentral:lncRNA from 15 species
CUGUGGUCUUUUGUUUUUAAGUCUUCAUUACAACAGCUUCUCACCGUGACCAGGCCACCCCGUGAGAUUUUGAGUGUGACUCAGUCAUCGUGUAGCCUCGCCCCCCAGGCUCUUAUAAUCAGUCACCUACAGUCACAGGAAGCCACACACACUACAGCUGUCUACAGGGAGCAGAGAGCGCAGAGCUGCAGUUACACAAGUGCUUGUGGAGAUACACAGUAAAAGGAACACAGUCAUGAGGGUCAGCCUGAAAGCUCUGAUAACAUGUCUGCUAUGGGGCUGUGUACUAACAGCAGAGCCCAAACUAUCUAUCUCUCCACAAAACCCUGGGAACCUCAGCACCAUACCUCCAUCCAUGGCAACCGAUAACGACAAAACAAAUGUUCCUAGUACAACUCCAUCUACAACUACUUCCACCACCAAUAACACUUCCACCCAGGCUGCCAGCACUGAGGAAAAACAGACUCCUGACUCGACAACUCAGGACUCUAGCAUCAAAAAACAAAGCCAGUUCACCAACACAACUACUAUUACCAACAGUACCACCACCGGCACCACCAUCAGCACCAUCAGCACCAUCCCCAGCACCACACAAAGCCAGUCCACCAACACAAGUACUACCACCGACAACAUCAUCCCCAGCUCCACACAAAGCCAGUCCACCAACACAAUCACCACCACCGACAAAGCCAGUCCACCAACACAAGUACUACCACCGACAACAUCAUCCCCAGCUCCACACAAAGCCAGUCCACCAACACAAUCACCACCACCGACAAUGCCACCACCGUCAGCGCCAUCCCCAGCUCCACACAAAGCCAGUCCACCAACACAAUCACCACCACCGACAAUGCCACCACCGUCAGCGCCAUCCCCAGCUCCACACAAAGCCAGUCCACCAACACAAUCACCACCACCAACAAUACCACCACCAACACCACCCUCGGCACUACAAAAACCAUCAGCACCACCCUCAGUAUCACCAGUAGCACCACUUCCAGUGCCAACACCGCCACAGAGGGACAGGACGGACACGAGUCCAAGGCUCUGA